UACGAAGGGGGCUAGCGUUGCUCGGAAUUACUGGGCGUAAAGGGCGCGCAGGCGGCUGCUCAAGUCAGGCGUGAAAGGCCUGGGCUCAACCCGGGAAUUGCGCGCGAAACGGGGGGGCUUGAGUUCGGGAGAGGAGCGUGGAAUUCCCAGUGUAGAGGUGAAAUUCGUAGAUAUUGGGAAGAACACCGGUGGCGAAGGCGGCGCUCUGGACCGAGACUGACGCUGAGGCGCGAAAGCGUGGGGAGCAAACAGG
rnacentral:rRNA from 1 species